GUGGUCUGGCUGUUCCAGUUGGCUACACUCAUAAAAUUUUAAAAAUAACUAUAAAAGAAACUUUUCAAUAAACCUUCCUGAAUUCUUCUCUUGUUUCCAUUCUCUCUGCACUUUGCAAUAAGCCCUUCCCAUCAGGAGCUACUCCUGGAAGUGAAACACUUGCAGGAAUAACUCAUUCUGUUAUUCCUAAGUGUACCUCAAAGACCACCUUCACUGUUUCCCUUCCCUUCUUAUAAUUUUCUUUUGAAUCUUACCUCCAACUCACCACUGGCAGGUGACAGGAGGUAGAGAAACGUGGGCUGAACUUCAGCAGAAGGAAGAAGCAAGGGGUGAAAGAAAUCUGAACGUGAGUCAGAAAUUCAUUGUAGGCAUUGACACUGGAAAAAAAAUUAGAAGAUGACAGUAUGAAUAUAGUCUUCGUUACGUUGACAGAGGCUUGGAUGAGAGUACAAAUAGAAGAGGCUUUGCUAUGAGAGCAGACUGAGCCUCAGGGAUAAGGGAAGAGAAGAAACAGAGCAAGGGGAAAUGUUGGUAAUUUAUUUCCUGAUAAUUUUGCACUACGAAAUUUUUCUAAAGGAGAAAGUAUCUCUGCCCAACAGUAGUGCCAAGUACUUUAUUGUUCUUCCUUCUGCUGACUCAGAAGGAUUCUGGUCUAUGACACAGGACCUAAGAAUUUUGCUUGUGUCAAAUAUUCCAGUGUCCCUGUGGAUCGAAAGGUCCGUGCAGCAGAAUGGAUAUUGUUCCUUAUUACUUUGUCACAUCUUUCCAACAGGUUGGGUAAAGUGGCCUGGUCCUUGGUAGACUGAUUGCUGGGUCAUCUCUCUUACUCUUGCCCUAUGACUUCCUUGUUUUGCAUGGCCAUCUGAGCCUGUUAAUGAUGAUGUGGGGUUGGAAUGGGAAGGAAAGAUCUCAAUUAAGAUUUUGGUUCAAAAUACAGAGCAAAAUUGUACUUCCAGACAUGAUCCCAACUAAUGAUAUUUUUGUGCUUUGAUGUCUACUUAUCUUACUUGAAUGUAAAUCCCUCAGGAAACCCAUGAGGAUGAAGAUUGAUAAGCAAGCCAAGAACUGGAUGCUCCUAUAUUUAUAACUUUCUCAGUUAAUACUGAAAAAAAAAUUAACUUUUUACUUCUAUUACUUUAUACAAGUUGUUAAAUAUGAAAUGUUCUUAUGGAAUUGUAUCACAAAGCCUUGGUAUCUAUAUGCCAAUGUUGCCAUUUUUUCUUUCAUGUUUCUGUGGAUGUUUAAAUGUAUGCUUGGUUGGUUAUUGUGUUAUUUCUUGAGGCCAGAGAUGUUCAUUAACUUCUUUGUGGGGAGCAAAAGGAAGCCCGCCAUAUGCAUACAUUUGUAGGAGAGGGAAAGAACAUUUCC
rnacentral:lncRNA from 1 species